GACGAACGCUGGCGGCGCGCCUAACACAUGCAAGUCGAACGGAGUCAAGAGGAGCUUGCUUUUCUUGACUUAGUGGCGAACGGGUGAGUAACGCGUGAGUAACCUGCCCUGGAGUGGGGGACAACAGUUGGAAACGACUGCUAAUACCGCAUAAGCCCACGGAUUCGCAUGGAUCUGCGGGAAAAGGAUUUAUUCGCUUCAGGAUGGACUCGCGUCCAAUUAGCUAGUUGGUGAGGUAACGGCCCACCAAGGCGACGAUUGGUAGCCGGACUGAGAGGUUGAACGGCCACAUUGGGACUGAGACACGGCCCAGACUCCUACGGGAGGCAGCAGUGGGGGAUAUUGCACAAUGGGGGAAACCCUGAUGCAGCGACGCCGCGUGGAGGAAGAAGGUUUUCGGAUUGUAAACUCCUGUCGUUAGGGACGAUAAUGGCGGUACCUAACAAGAAAGCACCGGCUAACUACGUGCCAGCAGCCGCGGUAAAACGUAGGGUGCAAGCGUUGUCCGGAAUUACUGGGUGUAAAGGGAGCGCAGGCGGACCGGCAAGUUGGAAGUGAAAACUAUGGGCUCAACCCAUAAAUUGCUUUCAAAACUGCUGGCCUUGAGUAGUGCAGAGGUAGGUGGAAUUCCCGGUGUAGCGGUGGAAUGCGUAGAUAUCGGGAGGACACCAGUGGCGAAGGCGACCUACUGGGCACCAACUGACGC
rnacentral:rRNA from 1 species